rnacentral:rRNA from 1 species
CUACGUAGGUGGCAAGGCGUUGAUCCGGAUUUACCUGGGUCGUGAAAGGGCGUGAGCAGGCGGUUGUUAAGUGCAGGGUGAAAGCUCCCGGCUCGAAACUGGGACGGCACGGGUACCUUGCAUUAACUGGGCAAACUCGAGGGAAGGCAGGAGGGAAAGUGGGAAAUUCCCGGGUGUUCAGUGGUGAGUAUGACGUAGAUAUCGGGUAAGGGAACGAACCUGUCG